rnacentral:lncRNA from 1 species
GCCACCACUUACAUGGGUCCUUGUAGAUUUUCUGAAAUUCUCUAGUGGGCCUAAGGCCCACCUCCAAAUUUCAACACCCCCUUCAUCGGUAUCAUCCAUUUAAAAGAGUCUACGCUGCAGGUAAAGCAUGCCUUCAUUUAUCGGUUGUAAUAUAACCAAGUUAGUUUCUUAUAGUUUGUUGAUGGCAUAUACGAUUCACAUCCUUUUGUGUUAGGUUAGCAAUUUUAAUUAGUGUCAUAUCAGUUGUUUCUUUUGCUCCUUGAUACCCUCUUCAACAUAUAGCGAUUCUUUUCUGUACCGUUUCUAUUCGGAUUCUUGUGUGGUAGUGUUUAAUGAUUAUGAUUUAUAAGAGAAAAAAAGCAUUAGUGGUAUAUAAUUUUAUAUGUGCUCUACAGCCAGGCGUUGGGCUGCAAUUGGUCUAUUCUGAGUUCCAUAUCUGUAAUCAAGUCAGAGCUAGGAAACUGGCUUAUUCGGUUUAUUAUGUGAAUAUCCAUACAAUAAAACAAUAAUGAUCAAUAUUAGCAAACCUAAUAUAUCC